AUGAAUUUUUGGAGUUCUACUACUGUGCCUGCCGUUCAUUCGGAUGUGUGCACGUAGUCUCUAUAAAUCCUUAUCAACACCUGUUGCCACCUUUAAAAAGGGGGGAGUCUGAUUAAGCAUUUUAUGAUGCUUAUGACGAAUAACCUCUUUUCUUAUACAAACUCUUUUAAUGUCUAUUAGAAUGUUUCUCUGGCCGCAAGGCUAUAAAAUAUAAAA
rnacentral:misc_RNA from 1 species